AUUGAACGCUGGCGGCAGGCCUAACACAUGCAAGUCGACCGGAUGAGUGGAGCUUGCUCCAUGAUUCAGCGGCGGACGGGUGAGUAAUGCCUAGGAAUCUGCCUGGUAGUGGGGGACAACGUUUCGAAAGGAACGCUAAUACCGCAUACGUCCUACGGGAGAAAGUGGGGGAUCUUCGGACCUCACGCUAUCAGAUGAGCCUAGGUCGGAUUAGCUAGUUGGUGAGGUAAAGGCUCACCAAGGCGACGAUCCGUAACUGGUCUGAGAGGAUGAUCAGUCACACUGGAACUGAGACACGGUCCAGACUCCUACGGGAGGCAGCAGUGGGGAAUAUUGGACAAUGGGCGAAAGCCUGAUCCAGCCAUGCCGCGUGUGUGAAGAAGGUCUUCGGAUUGUAAAGCACUUUAAGUUGGGAGGAAGGGCAGUAAGUUAAUACCUUGCCGUUUUGACGUUACCAACAGAAUAAGCACCGGCUAACUUCGUGCCAGCCGCCGCCGUAAAAC
rnacentral:rRNA from 1 species